UCUGUUGCCUCUGCCUUACCUACUCUCUAAACUUUAUUGUUAAGCACAGCUAAAUAUUAAGCAAGAAACAACCUAAUUUUGAGUUUAAAUGUUAGUCAGAAAAUAGUCCUAAUGAGAAUGUUAACACUUCUGCACUGAACCACACAGAACACAGAUAAUGCAGCAUUUCAGUCGCUAGGUGGUGCAAGAGGAACAUCACCUUAAAGAAGGAAGAGAUUGCUACUGGAAAGAUCAGACAUGUCUGAUGACCAUGGCUAACAACAAACAAAAUUAGAGGCAGCCCAUCACUGAUGACUAAGAAAAAUAUUACUUAUUCCACAGAAAGAUUAAUAACAAAUGUGAGCAUAAGGAGCUGACAGAAUGGGACAUAUGAGAAAAUACUAUCAAAGACAGAAGACUCAGCUAAGCAAGCAUGGAAUUGGCUGCUUGAGGCAGGAAAGAGAAACUUGCAGAAGAUGGUAAUAGAAUAUUGAAUGCACUGCCAUUACCCAAGAAGAACCAGAACUACCAAGCAAUCAGUAUCAGUGGAGGAGCUAGACUGCCCAAUGUGUUAGUGGCACUGAGGAGCUAAGGUUUGCGUCUGAAACAAAGGAAGUACAAGCACAUGGCAAAAGGACUAUAAAGGGCAGCUGCUGAAUCAUCACCAUUCUGUCUUCAAUUCUGCUUCUUACCUCUUGAGGACUUUUGCUAUAAACUGAAUGAAGGACUCAAUGACCCAUCCAAGCUAUGGAUGUGAUCCAGAGGGACUUUGAAGCCUGAAAACUCAUCCACACUACUAAGAACCUGACUGGUCCAGUGGAACUACAAAUGACCAUCCCUUCCAGGAGACUAAUUGGAGAGGAAGUAUGUGACAUUUGAUGCCUUUCAAAACAUCCAAGCUUGAAAACAUUCCUCAGUUUUAACUGGUCACCAUCAAGGCUAGCCCGUCUCUUUUCAAAUGUCUAGAAAGCUACACAUGGUAGAUGUGAAUUGAAGAGACACAGCCCAGAUAAUCUUAACAGUGGCUCAGGGAAAGAUUCUUUGACCAUCUCCACAUGUUCUAAAAAAGCUGUUUUUAACUAGAAAUACUAAUCUACAUUAAAUAAAAAUAAAUUAUUAUUAAACUAUACAUUAUAAUUAUUAUUAAUAAUAAACAUGUUCCUUAAUUAAUUGGUACCAAUAUCUACAUACACCCAACAUUUAAUACAAAUCAAAUGUAACUAAGCAUGGGCCAGAAUGUGCUAUCCUCACUCACGUUGGACCUGAUACAAAGCCCACUGAGAUUAAUGGAAAGAUCCCUACUGAUGUCAGAAGGCUUUGGUUCAGGUCUGCUUAAUGGAGAAAGGUGGUACAUAAUGUAAGUAAAGAUAACACAUUCUGGCCCCAUAUGUUUUGCUUGUUUAACAAAAUGUUUGGAGAGAAGCCAAAAGUAUCAGCAUUUACCUACAUUUUUAGCUAUAAGUACCUCCAUCAGUGCCACUUAUUCAAAUGUAUUUGAAAGCAUUAGGUCUGCAUGUAAACACAAAAGGGCCAGGGGCUAAAUUCCACACUGACAUAAGUGGGAACAAUGAUAUUAGUGGUAAUAAAAUUGCACCUGCUUAUGCCGGCACAGAUAUUUUUCUCUAAAAUUUGAAUGCUUGUAAACCAAUUAUUUUAAAUGUAAGACUCUGUGAAAGUAUUAUGAGUAGCAGUCAUAAACCCAAUUUUUAUUACAGCAUUUAUUAAAAAUAGACAGUAUAUACUAAAUAAGAUGUAAUUAACCUUAGUUGUAGUGUGUGAUUCUUAUUGUACAAACAAUAUCACUAUUGAGGAAAAAUUCAAUCUGGAGAGGCAUUUGACAGCCAUUUAAAAAACAAACAAAAGGCAGUGGAAAUUGAUUAGAAAACAACAUUUCAACUACUCUCAUUUUUGGGUGGGGGAAUGUUACAAAUUGUGUCUUGGAUUUUCCUUAGGGCAACACUGAAUACUAAUUUGCAUUGAAUGAACGUGAUUUGCCACUUUUCAGUAAUGGUCCAGUAAAUGAAUGCCACCUUCUUUACCAGUGGCCAUCAAACAACAUCUGUGUAAUCGGCUAUAUAGUGCAUACUGUGAGUCAUGGCAGCAGAAAGCACAAAAAAUAAUUUGAGAUGCAUG